AUUGAACGCUGGCGGCAUGCCUUACACAUGCAAGUCGAACGGCAGCACGGGAGCAAUCCUGGUGGCGAGUGGCGAACGGGUGAGUAAUAUAUCGGAACGUGCCCAGUCGUGGGGGAUAACGCAGCGAAAGCUGUGCUAAUACCGCAUACGAUCUAUGGAUGAAAGCGGGGGAUCGCAAGACCUCGCGCGAUUGGAGCGGCCGAUAUCAGAUUAGCUAGUUGGUGGGGUAAAGGCCCACCAAGGCGACGAUCUGUAGCUGGUCUGAGAGGACGACCAGCCACACUGGAACUGAGACACGGUCCAGACUCCUACGGGAGGUAGCAGUGGGGAAUUUUGGACAAUGGGCGCAAGCCUGAUCCAGCAAUGCCGCGUGCAGGAUGAAGGCCUUCGGGUUGUAAACUGCUUUUGUACGGAACGAAACGGCCCUUUCUAAUACAGGGGGCUAAUGACGGUACCGUAAGAAUAAGCACCGGCUAACUACGUGCCAGCCGCCGCGGUAAGAC
rnacentral:rRNA from 1 species